CGGGACGGGGUGAGUAAUGUCUGGGAAACUGCCUGAUGGAGGGGGAUAACUACUGGAAACGGUAGCUAAUACCGCAUAACGUCGCAAGACCAAAGAGGGGGACCUUCGGGCCUCUUGCCAUCGGAUGUGCCCAGAUGGGAUUAGCUAGUAGGUGGGGUAACGGCUCACCUAGGCGACGAUCCCUAGCUGGUCUGAGAGGAUGCCAGCCACACUGGAACUGAGACACGGUCCAG
rnacentral:rRNA from 1 species